AUUCAUUUUCUAUUCUAACAUAUCGCGCGUUCUAACAUAUUUGUUUGUAACCUUCGAUUUGCCACGAAAUCGUUAUAAAAACGACGAUUUUUAAUGCGAUCGUCCACAACAACGUUUUUCGCGUUCAACCAUCACUUGGUUACGGGUCUGAGCUGUCUUGUUUGCCAUUAAUUAUAUUUUUGAAAAUGGACUUCAAGUUGAUUUCGUUUAUUAUGUUAUUCGCACUACUUUCGAUAGUAAGUAGCGUCCAAGGAUGUGGAAGAGACGGUGUACACUGUCGCAGCCAGGGAGAUUGUUGUAGUGGCUUUUUUUGCUUUCAAGCCGCUAAUGGAACAUUUUGUAAACGAGAAAGCGGAUAAAUUAUUGAAUUUUGAUCAGAAAAAAAACAAAGCAAAUAUUUGAAGUGUUUAAAACGUGUUUUUAAAACUGUGUGUAUCCUUCGAGUUUCUUGAAAAUUUUCUAUUUGACAUUUCUAUCCAUCCUGCAACUUUUAAGCCUGGUCGGGUAGUAGUAGGCCUUCCAUAAUUACCAUUUUUUUUCGAUUUAUGAAAAUUGAAAAAAUUUUUUUUCGCUAUAAAUUAUUAUCAGUACCGCUUUUUGACACUGUAUACUUUUUUUUUGCUCAUUAUAGAUUGAUUUUGAUAUAGACCUACUAUCAGACUGAACCUAAAAGUUGCAGGAUGGAUAGAAGUUUAAGAUAGAAAAUCUUCAAGAAAAUCGAAGCAUACAAACAGUUUUAAAAACACGAUUGAAUACUUAAAAUUCCAAAAUCUCGAUUGAAAACAUUUCAAAUAUUUGUUUUGUAUUUUUGUUUUUCUGUAAGUGCCAUCUAAAAACGAAAAUUAAAAAAAAAAAAAAACAUUAAAUUUCGACCAUUAUUACGAAAGUUAUUAAUCAAAAAAUCUCAAAAUUUACCAGGAAGCCUCAUUAAUUGAACACCACUAAAUGCACUAUACAAAUGCUAAAACAGGAUACAGAUUUACAUAAGACUUUUUUAAGAGCUCUAAUUAGGCGUAUCUACAGCGUCUUUUAACAGACAUAUAUAAUUCAUUGUAAUCGAUUCAUUAGUUUAAAAAAUGUCAUAUAAGAAAAAUUACCGCUCUUACAUUUUUCUCUGAUGUUUCAUAUUUUAACGGUCUAAUCUGAUUUGAAACUCAUAUAUUUUUUCAUCAAAGCACCUCAAAAGUAUAAAUAAAUUAAACUUCCUAGUUCA